UCAUCGUAGUUUAGCGCAAAGGAAACACACACAGUAGAGAAGGUCCUUCUCUACUGUGUGUGUUUCCUUUGCGCUAAACUACGAUGA
rnacentral:pre_miRNA from 1 species